UUUGAGGAAGCUAUUCAAGCAUCUCAUUGUUACUGAGAAGAUAGGUUAUUUAUAACCCCUCAAAG
rnacentral:tRNA from 1 species